CGCACAUUGCGCCCUUUGGUAUUCCGAAGGGCAUGCCCGUUCGAGCGUUAUUAAACCCAAUCAAGCCUGGCUUGGUGUUGGGUCCCGGGGGCGACCCGGACCCCAAUAUCCCGCCGGCCGAUCGGCCCGUACCCCAGCGUUGUGGCACAUCCGUGGUCCGCUGAGGGGAGGGGGCGAGCGUGCCGUCAUCUUUUUAAUCAAAGGUUAACCUCGGAUCGGGUAGGGAUACCCGCUGAACUUAA
rnacentral:misc_RNA from 1 species